GCGUACGGGAUGAAAUACAGGUUAAACUCUGAAUGCAAGUGAUGUUAAACACACGAGCUUUUUAACUCUGAAAACGCU